rnacentral:lncRNA from 1 species
UUAUACGGGCUUUAGCUACAAGGACGUUUUGGGGAUUUUCAACAUUUGCCAAGGGAUUUUUCAUUAUUUUAGGAGAGUUUAUACAAGAGAAGAGGACACUUUGAACGACGGGAACACAGAGAAUUGUCAGAAGAUCGAGAAUUACAGAGAUCAAGGAAUUCAGAGAGCGGAAGAUUUUCAUGAGUGGAAGCGAUUGAAGAUCCAAGUCAUC